UAGCGGAGAAAUUCCAAACGAACUUGGAGAUAGCUGGUUCUCUCCGAAAUAGCUUUAGGGCUAGCGUCCAACUUGAAUGUAAUGGAGGUAGAGCACUGUUUGGGUGAGGGGUCCAUCCCGGAUUACCAAUCUCAGAUAAACUCCGAAUGCCAUUUACAUGCGUUGGGCAGUCAGACUGUGAGUGCUAAGAUCCAUAGUCGAAAGGGAAACAGCCCAGACCAUCAGCUAAGGUCCCAAAAUAUAUGUUAAGUGGAAAAGGAUGUGGGAUUGCACAGACAACUAGGAUGUUAGCUCAGAAGCAGCUAUCAUUUAAAGAGUGCGUAAUAGCUCACUAGUCGAGUGAUCCUGCGCCGAAAAUGUACCGGGGCUAAAACAUAUUACCGAAGCUAUGGAAUUAAAUUUAUUUAAUUGGUAGGAGAGCGUUCUUAUCAGCGAUGAAGGUAUACCGUGAGGAGUGCUGGAGCGAUAAGAAGUGAGAAUGCCGGUAUGAGUAGCGCAAGACAGGUGAGAAUCCUGUCCACCGUAAGACUAAGGUUUCCAGGGGAAGGCUCGUCCGCCCUGGGUUAGUCGGGACCUAAGGAGAGGCCGAAUGGCGUAUCCGAUGGACAACAGGUUGAUAUUCCUGUACUAGGUUAUAUAGUGAUUGGAGGGACGCAGUAGGCUAAGGUAAGCCAGUUAAUGGAUUCUGGUCUAAGCAGUGAGGUUUGGUAUGAGUCAAAUGCUUGUACCUCUAAGAUUGAGCUGUGAUGGGGAAGCACUUUCGAGUGCGAAGUACCUGAUGUCACACUGCCAAGAAAAUCUUCUAGCGUUUAAUUAUAACCUACCCGUACCGCAAACCGACACAGGUAGUCGAGGCGAGUAGCCUCAGGUGAGCGAGAGAACUCUCGUUAAGGAACUCGGCAAAAUGACCCCGUAACUUCGGGAGAAGGGGUGCUCUACAUUUGUAGAGCCGCAGUGAAUAGGCCCAAGCGACUGUUUAUCAAAAACACAGCUCUCUGCUAAAUCGUAAGAUGAUGUAUAGGGGGUGACGCCUGCCCGGUGCUGGAAGGUUAAGAGGAGUGCUUAGCGUAAGCGAAGGUAUGAAUUGAAGCCCCAGUAAACGGCGGCCGUAACUAUAACGGUCCUAAGGUAGCGAAAUUCCUUGUCGGGUAAGUUCCGACCCGCACGAAAGGCGUAACGAUUUGGGCACUGUCUCAACGAGAGACUCGGUGAAAUUUUAGUACCUGUGAAGAUGCAGGUUACCCGCGACAGGACGGAAAGACCCCAUGGAGCUUUACUGCAAGUUGAUAUUGAGUAUCUGUUGCACAUGUACAGGAUAGGUAGGAGCCAUUGAUCUGAGGACGCUAGUUUUCAGUGAGGCGAUGUUGGGAUACUACCCUUGUGUCAUGGCUACUCUAACCCGCAUGCCUAAUCGGCAUGGGAGACAGUGUCUGCUGGGCAGUUUGACUGGGGCGGUCGCCUCCUAAAGAGUAACGGAGGCGCUCAAAGUUUCCCUCAGCAUGGUUGGAAAUCAUGCGUAGAGUGUAAAGGUAUAAGGGAGAUUGACUGCGAGACUUACAAGUCGAGCAGGUACGAAAGUAGGACUUAGUGAUCCGGUGGUACCGCAUGGAAGGGCCAUCGCUCAACGGAUAAAAGCUACCCUGGGGAUAACAGGCUUAUCUCCCCCAAGAGUUCACAUCGACGGGGAGGUUUGGCACCUCGAUGUCGGCUCGUCGCAUCCUGGGGCUGUAGUCGGUCCCAAGGGUUGGGCUGUUCGCCCAUUAAAGCGGCACGCGAGCUGGGUUCAGAACGUCGUGAGACAGUUCGGUCCCUAUCCGUCGCGGGCGUAGGAAAUUUGAGAGGAUCUGCUCUUAGUACGAGAGGACCGGGGUGGACUUACCGCUGGUGUACCAGUUGUCUUGCCAAAGGCAUCGCUGGGUAGCUAUGUAGGGAACGGAUAAACGCUGAAAGCAUCUAAGUGUGAAACCAACCUCAAGAUGAGAUUUCCCAUUCUUUAUGAAUUAAGAGCCCUGAGAGAUGAUCAGGUAGAUAGGCUAGAAGUGGAAGGACAGUGAUGUUUGGAGCGGACUAGUACUAAUAGCUCGAGGACUUUACCUA
rnacentral:rRNA from 1 species